CAAAGAAGGGAAGCCAUUACACAUGCAAGUCGAGCGGUAAGGCCCUUCGGGGUACACGAGCGGCGAACGGGUGAGUAACACGUGAGCAACCUGCCCCUGACUCCGGGAUAAGCGGUGGAAACGCCGUCUAAUACCGGAUACGACCCACCACCUCAUGGUGGAGGGUGGAAAGUUUUUCGGUCAGGGAUGGGCUCGCGGCCUAUCAGCUUGUUGGUGGGGUAACGGCCUACCAAGGCGAUUACGGGUAGCCGGCCUGAGAGGGCGACCGGCCACACUGGGACUGAGACACGGCCCAGACUCCUGCGGGAGGCAGCAGUGGGGAAUAUUGCGCAAUGGGCGAAAGCCUGACGCAGCGACGCCGCGUGGGGGAUGACGGCCUUCGGGUUGUAAACCUCUUUUACCACCAACGCAGGCUCCGGGUUCUCCCGGGGUUGACGGUAGGUGGGGAAUAAGGACCGGCUAACUACGUGCCAGCAGCCGCGGUAAUACGUAGGGUCCGAGCGUUGUCCGGAAUUAUUGGGCGUAAAGAGCUCGUAGGCGGCGUGUCGCGUCUGCUGUGAAAGACCGGGGCUUAACUCCGGUUCUGCAGUGGAUACGGGCAUGCUAGAGGUAGGUAGGGGAGACUGGAAUUCCUGGUGUAGCGGUGAAAUGCGCAGAUAUCAGGAGGAACACCGGUGGCGAAGGCGGGUCUCUGGGCCUUACCUGACGCUGAGGAGCGAAAGCAUGGGGAGCGAACAGGAUUAGAUACCCUGGUAGUCCAUGCCGUAAACGUUGGGCGCUAGGUGUGGGGACUUUCCACGGUUUCCGCGCCGUAGCUAACGCAUUAAGCGCCCCGCCUGGGGAGUACGGCCGCAAGGCUAAAACUCAAAGGAAUUGACGGGGGCCCGCACAAGCGGCGGAGCAUGUUGCUUAAUUCGACGCAACGCGAAGAACCUUACCAAGGUUUGACAUCACCCGUGGACCUGCAGAGAUGUGGGGUCAUUUAGUUGGUGGGUGACAGGUGGUGCAUGGCUGUCGUCAGCUCGUGUCGUGAGAUGUUGGGUUAAGUCCCGCAACGACCGCAACCCUUGUUCCUGUUGCCACCACGUAAUGGUGGGGACUCAGGGAAACUGCCGGGGUCACUCCGAAGAAAGGUGGGGAAAAAUUCAAUUCUCAAGCCCC
rnacentral:rRNA from 1 species